UGAAGAUUACAGCUACAAACCGACGACCGUACCUGUUCAGGCUGUUCUGCGAUGCUGAACCGAUCGAGGUUCUUGCGGCGUCAUCAGAAUCAGAUCAGACUCGAGGCUAUGAAGGAGUUGACGACGAUCUCCUCUCAGUGAGCCACCGCUGUCCGGGACUGCAGGGUGAUGCUCUUCUGGCUCGGGAUGGCGAGCAUGGCGGUGUGGUCCAGGAAGUCCUUGAGCUCGACGACGGACUGCAGCACCCGCCUGAGGUCGUCGGUGCGCAUGAACCCGGCGGCGCCGAGCCGGCGCACGGCGUAGACGUAGAUGGUGAGGCAGCCCUUGCGGAACUUGAAGCGCGCCAUCUCGCUGCCCGUGAGGCCGCGGAUGAGCCUCCUGUUGACGUCCCCGAGCGGGGUGACGGCGGGCCACAGGCGGUCCACGGCCGCCUUCAUGGCCUCGGACUCGAACACGAAGAGCGCCGCCUUGGACUUGUUGGUGCCCAGGCCCAGCGUCAGCGUGUGCCACGCCUGGUGCGCCAGGAUGGUGAAGCCCGUGGGCAUGUAGGCGGUGGUGGACGGGAACGGCAGGCUCUGGCACUCGCUCAGGUACGACGGCGGGAUGCCCAGCAGCCGCAGCAGCUCCAGGGGCGACGCCCGCCGCACCGUGAACGACUUCACGAUGAACUGGCCCCCGAACCGGAUGCCCUUCACGUCGCCGCACGGCUUGAAGUGCGCCGCCUGCUCCGUGCCGCCGCCCGGCUGCUUCUCCUUCUCCUUGUGCUUGUGCUUGUGCCUCUUCUUCUCCUCUGCCAUGGCGUGCUUGUGCUUUCGGCUGGAGUGAGCUGUGCGGCUGGGGGUGGUGGACUGGUGGUGCCCGGGGAAAAGGCGGUAAUGACGAGUCCCCCCUUCCUUGUGGCUGCUGCUGGUACCAUAUCACAGAGGUGUUUGUCAGAAUUGUGAAGGGCCAUCCGCUUGGGCAUCAAGGAAGAGCUUAGCUUUACUACCAUUUUUGUAAUCUGAUCCGGUUGGUGGGCCAG
rnacentral:misc_RNA from 1 species